CUAUUUUACUUAUUUACGUUAGAGACAGGCUGGCCCACUUUUAUUUGACAUUUUAUUGAUAUUAAAUUACGAUAUUGAACCAACAAUACGUUAAAACUCUUCUUAUCACAGAAUAAAAUGUAGUUGCAAACAAAACUGUUAGUAACUUUGAAAUAUUUAAACAUGGUAUAAUAGAUAAAAUUUGAAUUAAGAAAGUCUCUUGAAUAAGAAAUUCUGUCAUAAUGUGAUGAAAACUCGAUGUUGUUCUUAUGUAAAUUAAACUUCAAAAUUCAGCAAUACUACAUGAUGGAACAUAUCUUGUCUUGUUUACAUGUACGUUUACUGCAAUCCAAAUAAGCUGCACUGGAAUACUUAACCCUUUUCUAAAGGAUUGAUUGAGAAGAAAUUAUUGGAUCACAUGUUUACUGCAAGAUAAAGUACUAGUAAGAGCUGGCAUUUUGAUUUGUACUUUAAAAGGAUGUAAAAGAUUUGAAAUCAAUAAUAAAGAUGUGAUUUGGUGAGAACUUGA
rnacentral:lncRNA from 1 species